CAGCUCUCCGAGUGGUAGGGAUGAUUAUUGGGCUUAAAGCGUCCGUAGCCGGCUUAGCAAGUCUCCUGUUAAAUUCAGCGACCUAAUCGUUGAGCCGCGGGAGAUACUACUAGGCUAGGAGGCGGGAGAGGUCGACGGUACUUCUGGGGUAGGGGUGAAAUCCUAUAAUCCCAGGAGGACCACCAGUGGCGAAGGCUGUCGACAAGAACGCGCUCGACGGUGAGGGACGAAAGCUGGGGGAGCGAACCGGAUUAGAUACCCGUGUAGUCC
rnacentral:rRNA from 1 species